CGUAUACAAUAAAGUUUAUCUUUAGAUCUAAAUAGUAUUAAAACGAAAAAGAUUCCGUUGAAAAUGUUUAUCUGAUAGUAUGGUGUUUGUUUACCUUAUCAUGGAUAUCAUUAUUUUGAAAUUCCAUCAGCAAUAGUGUUUAUUUGAAGAGCCUAUGGUCAUUAUCUUGUUCCAUUAUACAUUUAUGAAAGUGCCUAAGAAGGUAUGAAUAGUCGUAAUGGAUCUUCGUCAAGAGAUAAAAAGGAUACAAAGUUGGUUUCUAUGCAAGACGAGAACAAAUUACGUAAUUUGUGGAGAAACGAUUUUUCUUCUAUCGAGUCUUCCUUAGUCCAAAAACUGCCUAAAUUUUCAUCGUACAUAAAAAACCAUUGCAAUGCCAAUUUUCGAAUUUUGCACCGUUUGAAAGAAGACGGAAGACAAACCAUUUUUAUGCUAAAUCCGGAGUACCAUCUGAAGUUUCUCGAAGAGAAUUUAAG